rnacentral:lncRNA from 1 species
UAUUUCUUUGUCAGUUCCUAUUCGAUUUAUUUUACAGUUUAAAUGCAGUAUGGUAUCUGAUUUAAUUAUUAUAUAGUUUUUAAAUGCAUGAAUCAUUGCUUACUUUAUUCCGGCCUGACUUUGUGAAUCUAAUGAUAUGCUAGCCUUGUUGGAUGCUCAUUGAUUGCUUUAGUAUUCAUGUUUAUGUGGGAAACAGGAAAC